rnacentral:misc_RNA from 1 species
GUAGGUGAACCUGCGGAAGGAUCAUUAUUGAAUCCUUAGGAUGUUGCUGGCCUUUCGGGGCAUGUGCACUCCGCCUUUCAAUACACCUGUGAACUUAUUGUAGGUGCAGAUUGUAACAGAUCUGUUGCCUAUGUUUUUAACACACUCAAAAUGUAUAUUGAAUGUCUAAAUAUGGCCUUUGAUGGUCAACAAACUUAAUACAACUUUCAACAAUGGAUCUCUUGGUUCUC